rnacentral:tRNA from 1 species
GGUUGUGGCUCAGUGGUAGAGCACUCACCUCACAUGUGCGAGGCUCUGGAUUUGAUCUUCAGCACCACAUAAAAAUAAAUAAAUAAAUAAAUAAAUAAAUAAAUAAAUAAAUAUAUACAUAUAUAUAUAUAUAUAUAUAUAUAUAUAUAUACAUGUAUAUAUAUAUAUAUAUAUAAAGUCCCCAGCCCUUUAUAUAUUUAAAAAUAUAUAAAGGGCUGGGGACAUAGCUCAGUGGUAAAGUACCCUGGGUUCAAUCCCCAGUAUCA